UUUCUGUAGGUGAACCUGCAGAAGGAUCAUUAGAGUAUUGAGUCUGGGACAGCCCCGGGAGCGCUUUCGAGCGUGACUUGGUUCUGGCUGUCCACCUCACCGUACAUCUGAUCCAAACCCCUGUGCACUAGCUCUGUCCCGCCCAGUGUGCGGACAGAACGGAACAAACACUUUUUGAAGUAAGAAUGGACGUUUUGUUGUUGGAUCAUAACGACCAACGAAGACAAAUACAACUUUCGACAACGGAUCUCUAGGUUCUCCCAUCGAUGAAGAACGCAGC
rnacentral:misc_RNA from 1 species